rnacentral:rRNA from 1 species
AGGACGAACGCUGGCGGCGUGCUUAACACAUGCAAGUCGAACGGAUCCUUGCUUUCGGGUGGGGGUUAGUGGCGAACGGGUGAGUAACACGUGGGUAACCUGCCCUCCACUCUGGGAUAACUCCGGGAAACCGGGGCUAAUACCGGAUAUGACCACUCUCUGCAUGGGGGGUGGUGGAAAGUUUUUCGGUGGGGGAUGGGCCCGCGGCCUAUCAGCUUGUUGGUGGGGUGAUGGCCUACCAAGGCGUCGACGGGUAGCC